GAUGAACGCUGGCGGCGUGCUUAACACAUGCCAGUCGAACGAAGCACUUUAUUCGAUUUCCUUCGGGACUGAUUAUUUUGUGACUGAGUGGCGGACGGGUGAGUAACGCGUGGGUAACCUGCCUUGUACAGGGGGAUAACAGUUGGAAACGGCUGCUAAUACCGCAUAAGCGCACAGCAUCGCAUGAUGCAGUGUGAAAAACUCCGGUGGUAUAAGUUGGACCCGCGUUGGAUUAGCUAGUUGGUGAGGUAACGGCCCACCAAGGCGACGAUCCAUAGCCGACCUGAGAGGGUGACCGGCCACAUUGGGACUGAGACACGGCCCAAACUCCUACGGGAGGCAGCAGUGGGGAAUAUUGCACAAUGGGCGAAAGCCUGAUGCAGCGACGCCGCGUGAGCGAAGAAGUAUUUCGGUAUGUAAAGCUCUAUCAGCAGGGAAGAUAAUGACGGUACCUGACUAAGAAGCACCGGCUAAAUACGUG
rnacentral:rRNA from 1 species